CUUUGCUCUCGCUCGCUGUGUUCCGCUGCCGAACUCCCUCUCUUUGCUUCGCUCUCCCCCUCUCUACUCUGGCACCGAGCUCCCCUCGCCUCAUCGCUGCGCUCCACUCGGCUCAUCACGCUCAUCCCCUCCACAUUCCCUCGGCUCGUCACACAUCCCUUGGACCAAAAUAUUUGACCUUUUGGUCCAAGCUGGCGACAAAUUGACGGAUCCGGCGUCGGCGAGGCCGGAUCCGGUGGCAGCGAGGCCGGACACGCCGGAUCUGCUGGCUGUCAGGCAGGAUGCCCCCCACCCCCAUCCCCGACGCAUUCUCAGGCAAGGAGGGAGGGUCAACACCAACACCGUUGAAUCCGCUGGCGCCAAAAGAAGGGGCUAAGUUUCUCUGUCCAUCAUCGUUCAGGGUGACGAGAUGAGCGCUGAUCGUGAGAGCUGUGCUUUUUGGUGGGAUUUCAAGAACACAUGGGUGAGGAGAAGAAGCAAUUCUCUGCUAUAGCUAAGGGUGAUUUCAAGAACAACAUCACAAAAAAGGGAGAGCCAUUGGCACACUACCGCAAUUGUUGCCACGUCUCAGACUUCGCUCAGCCUCAAUGCCAACACCGACAUCUUCCGCGGGUUCCGCUUACCUCCUCGGCUAAAGAUCACACUCACAAUGUAGCAGUUCAACCGGACAAGGACCCAAAACUAGGUGAGUCAAGCGGACAUGACCCAAACUAGGUGAGAACUAGGUAAGUUAGAUGGUUCGUCUAAUUGCCAAACAUUGACGCGUAAACUUAUUGGUAUAUGCUACUGUUCAAUUGUAUUUUAUUCAUCUUUUGUAUAUUGUACUCCCUCCGUCCGAA